ACUCAAAUGAAUUGACGGGGACCCGCACAAGCAGUGGAGUAUGUGGUUUAAUUCGAAGCAACGCGAAGAACCUUACCAGGUCUUGACAUCCCGAUGAAACAGCCAGAGAUGGUUGCCCUUUUCGGAGCAUCGGAGACAGGUGGUGCAUGGUUGUCGUCAGCUCGUGUCGUGAGAUGUUGGGUUAAGUCCCGCAACGAGCGCAACCCUUGGAUCUAGUUGCCAGCAUGUUAUGAUGGGCACUCUAGUUCGACUGCCGGUGACAAACCGGAGGAAGGUGGGGAUGACGUCAAAUCAUCAUGCCCCUUAUGACCUGGGCUACACACGUACUACAAUGGCCGGUACAACGGGAAGCGAAACCGCGAGGUGGAGCGAAUCCUUAGAAGCCGGUCUCAGUUCGGAUUGCAGGCUGCAACUCGCCUGCAUGAAGUCGGAAUUGCUAGUAAUCGCGGAUCAGCAUGCCGCGGUGAAUACGUUCCCGGGUCUUGUACACACCGCCCGU
rnacentral:rRNA from 1 species